UACGAAGGGGGCUAGCGUUGUUGUCGGAAUCACUGGGCGUUAAAGGGCGCGUAGGCGGUCCGUUCAAGUCGGGGGUGAAAGCCUGUGGCUCAACCACAGAAUUGCCUUCGAUACUGGACGGCUCGAGACCGGAAGAGGUCAGUGGAACUGACGAGUGUAGAGGUGAAAUUCGUAGAUAUUCGCAAGAACACCAGUGGCGAAGGCGGACUGACUGGUCCGGUUCUGACGCUGAGGCGCGAAAGCGUGGGGAGCAAACAGG
rnacentral:rRNA from 1 species